GCCGGGGUGGCGGAAUGGCAGACGCAGGCGACUUAAAAUCGCCCGUGAGAAUUCACGUGCGGGUUCGAGUCCCGCUCCCGGCA
rnacentral:tRNA from 1 species